rnacentral:rRNA from 1 species
GACGAACGCUGGCGGCGUGCUUAACACAUGCAAGUCGAACGGUGAUGACAGGGCUUGCCUUGUCGGAUCAGUGGCGAACGGGUGAGUAACACGUGAGUAACCUGCCCCAGACUCUGGGAUAACCCCGGGAAACCGGAGCUAAUACCGGAUAGGACCCUUGUACGCAUGUGCUGGGGGUGGAAAGUUUUUCGGUCUGGGAUGGGCUCGCGGCCUAUCAGCUUGUUGGUGGGGUAGUGGCCUACCAAGGCGACGACGGGUAGCCGGCCUGAGAGGGUGACCGGCCACACUGGGACUGAGACACGGCCCGGACUCCUACGGGAGGCAGCAGUGGGGAAUAUUGCGCAAUGGGCGAAAGCCUGACGCAGCGACGCCGCGUGGGGGAUGACGGCCUUCGGGUUGUAAACCUCUUUCAGCAGGGACGAAGCCGGUUUCCGGUGACGGUACCUGCAGAAGAAGCACCGGCCAACUACGUGCCAGCCGCCGCCGUAAAAC